rnacentral:rRNA from 1 species
CCUUGGAUUGCGAGGAUUCGGCACUCUAGGCUCCGCGAGGAGAGUGAAUGCCGGUGAGCAGUGAAUGUGUAGAGAUGAGAAGCACAUCAGUGUGAAGGCGGCUAUUUGGACAGCACUGCAUUGAGCUAGAAAGCGUGGUGACAAACAGGUUUAGAUGCCAUGGUAGUCCACGCCUAACGAUGCGAACUGGACUGUUGGGAGCAACUAGGUCUCAGUGUGAAAGCUACGUUUAAUUUCACCGCCUGGAGAGUACAGUCGCAAGUCUGAACUCAAGGAAUUGACGGGGGCCGCACAGGCGGUGGAGUAUGUGGUCUAAUGCGAUGCAAGCGAAGAAUUUUACGUGGUUUUGACAUCCAUGGAAUCCUUCAGAGAUGAGGGAGUCCUUUCGGGACCCGUGAGACAGGUACUGAUUGGCUGUCUCAGCUCGUGUCGUGAGCUGUUGGGUUAAGUCCAGAAAAGAGCGCAACCCUUGUCCUUAGUUGACACCAGUUAAAGGUGGGAAUUUUAAGCACUCUACCGGUGACAAACCGGAGGAAGGUGGGGAUGGUGUCAAGUCAUCAUGUCCUUUUGGACCAGGGGUACACACUUCACCAAUGGUGGGGACAGAGGGUUGCCAAGGGCCGACCCGGGGCCAAUCCCAGAAACCCCAUCUUAGUCCGGAUGGAAGUCUGCAACUCGACUUCGUGAAGUCGGAAUCGGUAGUAAUCGCGGAUCAGCAUUGCCACGGUGAAUACGUUCCCGGGCCUUGUACACACCCCCCGUCACACCAUGCGAGUUUGUUGCACCAGAAGCAGGUAGGUUAACCGCAAGGGGGGCGCUUGCCACGGUGUGGCCGAUGACUGGGGUGAAGUCGUAACAAGGUAACCAACCCGAAUUAUU